UGGGGAAUAUUGCACAAUGGAGGAAACUCUGAUGCAGCAAUGCCGCGUGAGUGAAGAAGGCCCUUGGGUCGUAAAGCUCUUUUAUGGGGGAAGAUGAUGACGGUACCCCAGGAAUAAGCACCGGCUAACUACGUGCCAGCAGCCGCGGUAAUACGUAGGGUGCGAGCGUUGUUCGGAAUUACUGGGCGUAAAGGGCGCGCAGGCGGAGGUGCAAGUCGGAGGUGAAAGCCCGGGGCUCAACCCCGGAGGGUCUUUCGAAACUGCAUCUCUAGAGAGGGUCAGGGGCCGGCAGAAUUCCUGGUGUAGAGGUGAAAUUCGUAGAUAUCAGGAGGAAUACCGGUGGCGAAAGCGGCCGGCUGGGGCCACUCUGACGCUGAGGCGCGAAAGCGUGGGGAGCAAACAGG
rnacentral:rRNA from 1 species